CGGGGCGCGAGGCCGGUUCCCGGCGCGGGCAGCGGGCGGACUUCCUCGCUUUCGGUUUCGCGCCGCCCGGGAAGGGGCAGGUGACCCGGUCCCGGCCGCGGAGGCCGCGGGAGCGCCCCGGGCGGCAAAUAAAUCCAGCUUAGUGGUCGACUGACCCUGGGAAGUAAAACUACGAGUCACUGCUAUCUGUGUCAGUGCCCCACACGUCUUCCCACCAGUCUGGAUUUAAUCGUGCUCCAUUCUGAGCGCGAGGAGCCCCGAGGGGCUGUUCACCUGGGAUGCCACUCACUCGGAACGUCGCAGAAAAAGCUGUCUUUGUGGAAGUUCCAGUCGACUUCUCUUUUCUCUCUUUCAUAGUGGUCAUCUGACCAUCUAUCAUCCCGAUGGCUGAAACGGAACAACAACGUGGUCUUGAGUAAAGUACCGUCAGCAGCACAGGGCACACAGCCAGCAACUAUGUAACAGCGAUGGAGGCGAGCCGGCAUAGAGUAAACGUGUCUCACUGCUGUCCUACGCCCGGAACUAACCACAACGCGAUAAUAAACACUUAAAAAUAAUAAAGUACUAGCUGUUUCAAGGCCAACAAGCACACCUGUAACGCUCUACCCUCAGUCAUGACCUACUUGAAAUGAAAAGGAUGCAUAUAAGCAACCAACAUCCAUUUUCUCACAUCUAUAAAAAGGGAAAAAAAAAACCAAACCCUCACUCUUUUUACCUUAAUACAACAAAAUCUUAAAAAACAACGAGAAUGUACACAAAUCA